rnacentral:rRNA from 1 species
AUUGAACGCUGGCGGCAGGCCUAACACAUGCAAGUCGAGCGGAUGAAGGGAGCUUGCUCCUGGAUUCAGCGGCGGACGGGUGAGUAAUGCCUAGGAAUCUGCCUGGUAGUGGGGGAUAACGUCCGGAAACGGGCGCUAAUACCGCAUACGUCCUGAGGGAGAAAGUGGGGGAUCUUCGGACCUCACGCUCUCAGAUGAGCCUAGGUCGGAUUAGCUAGUUGGUGGGGUAAAGGCCUACCAAGGCGACGAUCCGUAACUGGUCUGAGGGGAUGAUCAGUCACACUGGAACUGAGACACGGUCCAGACUCCUACGGGAGGCAGCAGUGGGGAAUAUUGGACAAUGGGCGAAAGCCUGAUCCAGCCAUGCCGCGUGUGUGAAGAAGGUCUUCGGAUUGUAAAGCACUUUAAGUUGGGAAGAAGGGCAGUAAGUUAAUACCUUGCUGUUUUGACGUUACCAACAGAAUAAGCACCGGCUAACUUCGUG